rnacentral:rRNA from 1 species
UACGUAGGGUGCGAGCGUUGUCCGGAAUUAUUGGGCGUAAAGGGCUCGUAGGCGGUCUGUUGCGUCGAGAGUGAAAACUCAGGGCUUAACCCUGAGCCUGCUUUCGAUACGGGCAGACUAGAGGUAUGCAGGGGAGAACGGAAUUCCUGGUGUAGCGGUGAAAUGCGCAGAUAUCAGGAGGAACACCGGUGGCGAAGGCGGUUCUCUGGGCAUUACCUGACGCUGAGGAGCGAAAGUGUGGGGAGCGAACAGG